rnacentral:tRNA from 1 species
AAGAGAUUAUAGAAUAUAGGAAAAGCUGCUAACUAUUUCCUAAAGCGGUUUAACUCCGUUUAACUCUUA